UACGAAGGGGGCUAGCGUUGCUCGGAAUUACUGGGCGUAAAGGGCGCGUAGGCGGACAGUUUAGUCAGAGGUAAAAGCCCAGGGCUCAACCUUGGAAUUGCCUUUGAUACUGGCUGUCUUGAGUUCGGGAGAGGUGAGUGGAAUGCCGAGUGUAGAGGUGAAAUUCGUAGAUAUUCGGCGGAACACCAGUGGCGAAGGCGACUCACUGGCCCGAUACUGACGCUGAGGCGCGAAAAGCGUGGGGGAGCAAACAGGG
rnacentral:rRNA from 1 species